AUUGAACGCUGGCGGCAAGCCUAACACAUGCACGUCGAACGAGUGGCGGACGGGUGAGUAAUGUCUGGGAAACUGCCUGAUGGAGGGGGAUAAAUACUGGAAACGGUAGCUAAUACCGCAUACCAUCGGAUGUGCCCAGAUUGGAUUAGCUAGUAGGUGUGGUAAAGGCUCACCUAGGCGACAAUCCCUAGCUGGUCUGAGAGGAUGACCCGCCACACUUGAACUGAGCCACGGUCCAGACUCCUACGGGAGCCAGCAGUGGGGAAUAUUGCACAAUGGGCGCAAGCCUGAUGCAGCCGUGCCGCGUGUAUGAAGAAGGCCUUCGGGUUGUAAAGUACUUUCAGCUGUGAGGCGUUACCCGCCGAAGAAGCACCGGCUAACUCCGUGCCAGCAGCCGCGGUACUAC
rnacentral:rRNA from 1 species